CCUCAGGAUCGGACGAGAUUACCCGCUGAAUUUAAGCAUAUCACUAAGCGGAGGAAAAGAAACUAACAAGGAUUCCCUCAGUAACGGCGAGUGAAGCGGGACCAGCCCAGCACCGAAUCCCCCAGCAUCUCGCUGGCGGGAACUGUGGUGUAUGGGACGCCAACUGUCGUCUCCGCCGGUGGCCGAAGUCCUCCUGAUCGGGGCCUCUCCCAGAGCGGGUGUCAGGCCUUUACUGGCUGCUGGCGGGUCGGCUGCGAGCGUCUCCGGAGUCGGGUUGUUUGGGAAUGC
rnacentral:rRNA from 1 species